GUAGGUGGCAAGCGUUGUCCGGAAUUAUUGGGCGUAAAGCGCGCGCAGGCGGUUCUUUAAGUCUGAUGUGAAAGCCCACGGCUCAACCGUGGAGGGUCAUUGGAAACUGGAGAACUUGAGUACAGAAGAGGAAAGCGGAAUUCCACGUGUAGCGGUGAAAUGCGUAGAGAUGUGGAGGAACACCAGUGGCGAAGGCGGCUUUUCUGGUCUGUAACUGACGCUGAGGCGCGAAAGCGUGGGGAGCAAACAGGGAUUAGAUACCCUGGUAGUCCACGCCGUAAACGAUGAGCGCUAAGUGUUAGGGGGGUUUCCGCCCCCUUAGUGCUGCAGCUAACGCAUUAAGCACUCCGCCUGGGGAGUACGGCCGCAAGGCUG
rnacentral:rRNA from 1 species